UCCGAUUUGUCACCUGUGCACGAUCUCCGAAGAGGGGCUCUCGUUUCUGAGAGCUUGCUCGUGCAUGUCAAGCCUAGGUAAGGUUCUUCGCGUUGCGUCGAAUUAAACCACAUGCUCCACCGCUUGUGCGGGCCCCCGUCAAUUCCCUUGAGUUUCAACCUUGCGGUCGUACUCCCCAGGCGGGGUACUUCCUGCGUUAGCGCCGGCACCCAGAGGGUCGCUCCCCCAGGCACCUAGUACCCAUCGUUUACGGCGUGGACUAC
rnacentral:misc_RNA from 1 species